CAAUAGCGUAUAUUAAAGUUGUUGCGGUUAAAAAGCUCGUAGUUGGAUUUCUGCCGAGGACGACCGGUCCGCCCUCCGGGUGAGUAUCUGGCUCGGCCUGGGCAUCUUCUUGGAGAACGUAACUGCACUUGGCUGUGUGGUGCGGUAUUCAGGACUUUUACUUUGAGGAAAUUAGAGUGUUUCAAGCAGGCACACGCCUUGAAUACAUUAGCAUGGAAUAAUAAGAUAGGACCUCGGUUCUAUUUUGUUGGUUUCUAGAUCUGAGGUAAUGAUUAAUAGGGACUGUCGGGGGCAUUGGUAUUUGACUGUCAGAGGUGAAAUUCUUAGAUUCGUUGAGGACCAACCACUGCGAAAGCAUUUGUCAAGGAUGUCUCCAUUAA
rnacentral:rRNA from 1 species